rnacentral:lncRNA from 1 species
AUGGCAAUCAUCUACAUUGGGGGAAGAACUGCCGUAAAGAAAGGAAGAGUGGAAUUGAAACAGGAGAGAGAUGAGAAGAAUGAGCAUGGGCUCCACUGCAUGAGAAAAUUGAACUCUCUCGUGCCCAGAAGAAAUGGACAGGGCUUCACCUGCUUAACCGCACCUGGUUCUCAGCACUGGGCUAGACAGACUCCUGGACUGAUCCAGCUUUAACAUUUGCAUAUGGCUAUAAGAAUGCUUCUGUUGUUCUUCAAGUAAGUUUUUCCAACUGUUUUAAUUACUGCUAGUAAAUUUUGGAUAAACACUAAAUAAACAUUCAGCAGGCAUGCUUUGGUAGUGGUUA